rnacentral:misc_RNA from 1 species
GUGUUUGGUGUGUGGGAAGAUAGUGUGAUGCAGUUAUGGUUUUGUGUAUGGCAUCAUUCUGUUAUCACUUCCAACAUCCUGUUUUGUGGUGCCAGUGAAGUUGUGACUCUAAUGUGGUGAGCUGUGGUCAGCAUGAAAGGCUUGUGAAAGGGAACAAUUAACCCUUUAAUGGUGAACAUAUUAGAAAUUAUUCCCACUCAAAAUGGAGAGGAAGGAAGCAAGGAAGGACUCAACAAGUUCCGGCAGCAGUAGCUCCAGCAGCAGCAGUAGCAGUACCAGUAGUAGUAAGGAGAUAUUUGAGGAAGCCAGGGAGGGGAAGGAAGCAGAUCAGGUGGAGCAGCAGCAGCAGCAGCAGCAGCAGCACAGCCCAGAUGGGGAUAGAUGGAGAGACUCUCUCAACCAGGCAUGGAUAGAGUCCCUUGGAGAAACUGGUGAACAGUCUCACACCAUUCAGGUCACUAGUGGCACCACUGGCCAGGUCACGGCCACGGAGGUGACCCAGCAGUGUUCCAGCAGUGCUGGUGGCCAGGUGCUGACAACACGGGUCUCUCAGGACUCCUUUGUGGACUACAGUGGUCAGGUGUUGACGAUGCAGGUGUGCCAGGAGUCUUGCAGCAGUAAUGGUGGGCAGGUGUGCACAACUCAGGCAUCUCAGGAGGUGUCGAGCUGUGCCACAGGCCAAAUCCUGACCAAGCAGAUCUCUCAGGAGUCCUGCAGCAGUGUCAGUGGUCAGGUCACAGUCAUGCAACUGUCCCAGGAGGUUUUUAGCGGUGCCAAUGGCCGAGUCUUGACCUCACAGGUUUCCCAAGAGUCGCAUGGCAGCGGCAGUGGUGGUGGGCAAGUGUCGGUGGCACGGGUCACUCAAGGCUCUGGCAGCACUCCCCGGCGUGGACUCUUGAUGACACAGUUGUCCCGAGAAUCACUGGGCAGUGCUGACGGUCGGGUCACCAAGAGGCAAGUGUCCCAGGAGUCCACCAACAGUGAGACAGUGACCACUUAUGAUCAGGUAGUGUCUGGCGGCUACAAGCGGAGCCACCGGUCCUCCAGUAGCUCAUCCCUGGACACUGCGGAGGCCAAGGAUCACAUAGGACACAGGAGGAAGAGGAUGAGUGCCAGCGAGUAUUCAAGCCAAGAGUCUGACAGUGGAGGCUGCAGCAGCACGCCCAUGUCCCCGCUCAGCACGAAGUCCCCAGAGCUGCAGGAGAUAAUAAGACAGUCUGCAUUGUCAUCUGGCACCGUAGAGAUGAACCCUCCCUCUGCUGGUGAAGAACCUGUGCUGAGUGAGAUGAAGUUUGAGCUGUCCAGUUGGCCGUCCAGGAGUGAGUCAGUGCGCAAGGUGAAGGUGAUGGCACACAAACCGGUCAAGAGGUCUGUUAGCAGUGACCAGUCUGUGGAGCGCAUUUACACAGGUGCCAUGGAGCGCCACAUUAAGGAGCUCAAAGAUGAGCGAGAGAGUGUGCAGAAGAAGACCUUCAUGAAAUGGGUCAACUCACACCUGGUCCGGGUCAGCACACGCAUUGGUGACCUGUACGUUGACCUGCGCGAUGGCAAGCAGCUCCUCAAACUGCUGGAGAUCCUGUCAGGGGAGCGGCUGCCCCGCCCCACCAAGGGAAAGAUGAGGAUCCACUGCCUGGAGAACGUGGACAAGGCCUUACAGUUCCUGCGGGACCAGCGGGUGCACCUGGAGAACAUGGGGUCGCACGAUAUAGUGGACGGCAAUGCACGCCUCACCCUCGGCCUCAUCUGGACCAUCAUCCUCCGCUUCCAGAUCCAGGACAUCACCAUUGAGGAGACAGAGAACCAGGAGACAAAGAGUGCCAAGGAUGCUCUUCUCCUGUGGUGCCAGAUGAAGACUGCUGGCUAUCACAAUGUCAACAUCAGGAACUUCACCACCUCGUGGAGGGACGGCCUCGCCUUCAACGCCAUCAUCCACAAGCACCGUCCCGACCUGGUGCAGUACGAAAAGCUGUCGCGUUCAAACCCCAUCCACAACCUCAACAAUGCCUUCACCACCGCAGAAAACAAACUCGGCCUCACAAAGCUGUUGGACGCAGAGGACAUCUUUGUGGAGCAGCCUGACGAGAAGUCCAUCAUCACCUACGUGGUCACCUACUACCACUACUUCUCCAAGCUGAAGCAGGAGACGGUGCAGGGUAAGCGUAUCGGCAAGGUGGUUGGCAUCGCCAUGGAGAAUGACAGGAUGAUCAAGGAGUACGAGAACCUCACCUCGGAUCUCCUCAAGUGGAUUGAGAUGACCAUCGAGAGUCUCAACGACAGAGCCUUUGCCAACUCCCUCACCGGAGUGCAGACACAGCUGAUACAGUUCAAUACCUACCGCACAGUGGAGAAACCUCCCAAGUUUGUGGAGAAAGGCAACCUGGAGGUGCUGCUCUUCACUCUUCAGUCCAAGAUGAGAGCCAACAACCAGAAGCCAUACCUGCCCAAGGAGGGCAAGAUGAUCAGCGACAUCAACAAGGCCUGGGAGCGCCUGGAGAAGGCCGAGCAUGAGAGGGAGCUCGCCCUCAGGGAGGAAUUGAUUCGCCAGGAGAAGCUGGAGCAGCUGGCUGCGAGGUUCAACCGCAAGGCUGGGAUGAGAGAGACCUGGCUGUCCGAGAACCAGCGCCUCGUCUCCCAGGACAACUUUGGCUUUGACCUGGCUGCUGUGGAGGCUGCUGCAAAGAAGCACGAGGCCAUCGAGACGGAUAUCUUUGCCUACGAGGAGCGUGUGCAAGCCGUGGUGGCCGUGGCACAGGAGUUGGAGGCAGAGAACUACCAUGACAUUGAGCGCAUCAACGCCAGGAAGGACAAUGUUCUCCGAUUGUGGAACUACCUGCUGGAAUUGCUGCGCCUGCGCCGCAUGAGACUGGAAUUGUCCCUACAGCUCCAGCAGAACUUCCAGGAGAUGAUUUACAUCCUGGACUCCAUGGAGGACAUGAAGGUGCGCCUCUUGAGCGAGGACUAUGGCAAGCACCUCAUGGGCGUGGAGGACCUGCUACAGAAGCACUCCCUCCUGGAGGCAGACAUCAACGUGCUGGGUGAGCGCGUCAAGACGGUCAUUGAACACUCCCAGAGGUUCCUGGACGACGAACAGGUGGAGGGAUACAGGCCCUGCGACCCGUCCAUCGUGCUAGAGCGCGUGCAGCAGCUGGAGGACGCCUACGGUGAGUUGGUGAAGCUGGCCGUGGAGCGUAGGCUGCGGCUGGAGGAGUCUCGUAAGCUGUGGCAGUUCUACUGGGACAUGGCAGAAGAAGAGAACUGGAUCAAGGAGAAGGAACAGAUCUUGUCCACCUCAGACAUUGGCCAUGAUCUGAUCACUGUCAACCUUCUGCUCACCAAGCACAAGACUGUGGAGGAGGAGCUCUCCUCUCACGAGCCGCAGCUCAUGGCUUGCGUCAAGAUUGGAGAGGAACUCAUUGCCCAGCAACACUUUGGCUCUGACAAGAUUCAGGAGAGAAUUGAUGAAAUUAUGGGCAUGUGGAACAACCUCAAGGAGAAGUCUGCCAACCGCAAGAAGCGGCUGACGGAUGCCGUGGACCUGCACCAGUUCUACACCGAGGCUGACGACGUGGACACCUGGAUGCUGGACAUCCUGCGCCUGGUGUCCAGUGAGGACACUGGCAGGGAUGAAGCCACCGUCCAGUCCCUCCUCAAGAAACACAAGGACGUCACAGAGGAGCUGAAGAAUUAUGCCACCACCAUCGAGGCCCUCCACCAGCAGGCCUCGGAACUCAACGAAAUCGACAGGGAAUCACCCGAUGUUGUGGAGAGACUCGCUUCCAUUGACAGAAGGUACAAGGAACUGUUAGAAUUGGCCAAGAUGAGAAAGCAGAGGCUGCUUGAUGCUCUGUCCCUGUACAAGCUGUUCACCGAGGCUGAUGGUGUGGAGCAAUGGAUCGGGGAGAAGGAGCGCAUGCUGCAGACCAUGGUGCCUGCCAAGGACAUCGAGGACUGUGAAAUCAUGAAGCACAGGUAUGAAGGAUUUGAGCAGGAGAUGAAUGCCAAUGCAAGCCGCGUGGCCGUGGUCAACCAGCUUGCUCGCCAGCUGCUGCAUGUGGAGCAUCCCAAUUCAGAGGACAUUGUGGCCCGCCAGAACCAGCUGAACCAGCGCUGGGCGGAGCUCAGAGAGAAAGCCGAGAACAAGCGUGAAGAACUCAACUCUGCCCACGGCGUUCAGACAUUCCACAUUGAAUGCAGAGAGACAGUCUUGUGGAUUGAGGACAAGAAGAGAGUCCUGAUGGAGACUGCUGACCUGGGAACGGACCUGAGUGGCAUCAUGACCCUGCAGCGCCGCCUGUCUGGCAUGGAGCGUGACCUCGCCGCCAUCCAGGCCAAGCUGGACUCUCUGGAGAGGGAGGCCGACAAGAUCAGUCAGGAGCAUCCUGAGGAGGCCGAGCUGAUCCGCGAGCGUGUUGAACAGAUCCGUGCCGUGUGGGACCAACUGACACAGCUGCUGAAGGAGCGCGAUGCCAAGCUGGAGGAGGCCGGCGACCUCCACCGCUUCCUGCGUGACCUGGACCACUUCCAGGCCUGGCUGACCAAGACCAUGACCGAUGUGGCCUCAGAGGACAUCCCUUCAAACCUUGCCGAGGCAGAGAAGCUACUGAGCCAGCACCAGUCCAUCCGAGAGGAGAUCGACAACUACACGGAGGACUACACCAAGAUGAUGGAGUAUGGCGAGCGCAUCACCGCGGAGGACGUCACCCCGGCGGACGACGCCCAGUACAUGUUCCUGAGGGAGCGUCUCAAGGCCCUGAAGGAUGGCUGGGCAGAGCUGCACCAGAUGUGGGAGAACAGACAACAGCUCUUGUCACAGUCCCUCAACCUGCAGAUGUUCCUGCGAGAUGCCAAGCAGGGUGAGGUGCUCCUCAGCCAGCAAGAACACUACCUGAGCAAGGAUGAGACUCCCACCAACCUGGAACAAGCAGAAAACCUCAUCAAGAGACACGAAGCCUUCCUCACCACCAUGGAGGCAAAUGACGAGAAGAUCAAUGGAAUCUGUCAGUUUGCACAGAGAUUGCUGGAUGAGGGACACUAUGCCGUCGACAAGAUCCAGAAGAAGGCAGAAAAUAUUGAAGAGAGGCGGCAGCAGAACAGAGAACGGGCCAUGGAACAAAUGGAACGAUUACGGGACCAACUGCAGGUGCACCAGUUCCUACAAGACUGUGAAGAACUCAAUGACUGGGUGCAGGAGAAACACAUCAUUGCCCAGGACGAGAGCUACCGCUCUGCCAAAACCGUUCACAGCAAGUGGACUCGCCACCAGGCCUUUGAGGCGGAGAUUGCCAGCAACAAGGACAGGCUGGUCAGAGUGCAGCAGGCUGGGGAGGAACUGGUCAAGGAGAAACCAGAAAUGGCUGAGAUGAUCGGGCCAAAGAUUUCUGAGCUGAAUCAGCACUUUGAGGACUUGGAAAGCACCACAAAGGAGAAGGGCGAACGACUCUUCGAUGCCAACAGGCAAGUCCUGUACGAACAGACGUGCGACGACAUCGAUUCCUGGAUGAGUGACCUGGAGAAACAGAUUGAGGGCGGAGACACAGGCAUGGACUUGACCUCUGUAAAUAUUUUGAUGCAGAAGCAACACUUGAUUGAAACACAAAUGGCAGUGAAGGCCAAGCAGGUGGAACAGCUGGAGAGUCAGGCAGACUACCUGCAGCGCAUGGAUCCAGAGAAGACAGAAAAGGUCAAGUCAAUGAAGGCCAAGGUGGAGGCCAAGUUUGAGUCCCUAAAGGCACCACUGGUCGACCGCAACGAAGCCCUCAAUAAGAAGAAGGAGGCUUUCCAGUUCAGGCGAGAUGUGGAGGAUGAGAAGCUCUGGAUCCAGGAGAAGAUGCCUCAGGCCACCAGCUCCGAGUACGGCAACUCCCUCUUCACCGUCCACAUGUUGAAGAAGAAGUUGCAGAGUUUGAGCACAGAGAUCGACAACCAUGAGCCCAGGAUCAACCUGGUGUGUGAGAAUGGACGCAAGCUCAUCGAGUCGGGACAUGCGGACGCAGACGAGUUCCACAAGCUGCUGGAGGAGCUGCUGGACGACUGGGCCAAGCUGAAGGACGCCAUGGAGUUCCGACGCUCCAAACUGAUGGUUUCGGAGAAGGCCCAGCAGUACCUGUUUGACGCCAGCGAGGCUGAGGUCUGGAUGAGUGAGCAGGAGCUGUACAUGAUGGUAGAGGACAGAGGCAAGGAUGAACUCUCUGCCCAGAACCUGAUGAAGAAGCACCAGAGCCUCGAGAGUGACGUCACCGACUACGCCGAGACCAUCCGACAGCUGGGCGAGACAGCCAGACACCUCAUCAGUGAAGAACACCCCGACAGUGAACAGAUCAGCAAAAGACAGUCCCAGAUUGACAAGCUGUAUGCCGGCCUGCGGGACCUGGCGGUGGAGAGGCGCAGCAAGCUGGAUGAGGCCCUGAAGCUCUUCAUGCUGAACAGAGAAGUGGACGACCUGGAACAAUGGAUUGCCGAGAGAGAGGUCGUGGCCGGCUCUCACGAACUUGGCCAGGACUACGACCACGUUACGAUGCUCCGAGACAGAUUUAAGGACUUUGCGAGAGACACAGAGACCAUCGGCAACGAGCGAGUCGCGGCUGUCAACGAGAUUGCCGACCAGCUUAUCUCAGCCGGCCACUCUGAUGCGGCCACCAUCGCUGAGUGGAAGGACGGCCUGAACGAGUCUUGGGCUGACCUGCUGGAGCUCAUUGAGACACGCACACAGAUGCUUGCCGCCUCAUGGGAGCUGCACAAGUUCUUCCAUGACUGCAAGGACGUGUUGAGUCGCAUCCUUGAGAAGCAGAACAGCAUUUCAGACGAGCUCGGCCGUGACGCUGGCUCCGUGUCAGCCCUGCAGAGGAAACACCAGAACUUUGUCCAAGAUUUGGUUAUGCUCCAGCAGCAGGUGCAACAAAUUCAGGAUGACUCUUCUAAGCUGCAAGCUGCGUAUGCGGGCGACAAAGCUCGAGAAAUCACAAACAGAGAGGCAGAAGUUGUGUCUGCCUGGCUGAACUUGCAGGGUAUGUGUGAAGACCGCAGAGUUAAGCUCAGCGACACCGGUGACCUGUUCAAGUUCUUCAACAUGGUGCGCACACUCAUACUGUGGAUGGACGAUGUUAUCAGACAGAUGAACACUACCGAAAAACCAAGGGAUGUGAGUGGUGUAGAGUUGCUGAUGAACAACCACCAGAGUCUGAAGGCAGAAGUUGAUGCCCGGGAGGACAACUUCAAUGUAUGUGUGUCGCUGGGCAAGGAGCUGCUGUCCCGCAACCAUUACGCCACGCCGGAGAUCAAGGAGAAGCUCAUGUCCCUCAGCAACCAGCGCAUCAACAUGCUGCAGCGCUGGGAGGAGCGAUGGGAGCACUUACAGCUCAUUCUGGAGGUGUACCAGUUUGCUCGCGACGCUUCAGUGGCAGAGUGUUGGCUCAUGGCACAGGAACCUUAUCUUGUAUCAACUGAAUUUGGUAGAUCAAUUGAUGAGGUGGAGAACCUGAUCAAGAAGCAUGAGGCAUUUGAGAAGGCAUGUUCAGCCCAGGAGGAACGGUUUGCUGCCUUGGAGCGGCUGACCACGCUGGAAUUGCGAGAGCAGGAUAAGCGGCUCGGACUUAGAGACGAGCAAGGCCGUGCUCUUUACUAUGGUCAACGCUACACAGACGAUGAUCCGUUUGAGUUGAAAGAACUAAAGAGAAAACAGGAAGAGGAGGAGGAAGAACGGCAGCGACAAGAGGAGCUGGCGAGACAGGCGGCUGCCCCCCCCCCACAGUCCCCCGACCAACCCACGGACGGAGUCGAUGGUUCAGGAGAAGACUCCCACUUGAAUGGAGAGGAGCAUGAUGAAUCACGAGAAGCCGUUGCACCACCAUCGGCUGUUGCUCCUCCCAAGGGCCACCCCCAUACAUUGCCCCGAGAGCAUGAUGAGAGCGCAGCUGUUCUUCGGGGUAGUGCACCCAGCACCCCACGUCCCCCAUCCACCCCCGCCACACCCACCUCUGCCGCUGCCGGGGCCGGGCGAGGGCGGCCGGCAUCUGCCACCCUCCCUGCCACCACUUCGCCCCCUACUCCUGCUAGCAAGGAGUCACGACGGAGGGUGCGUUCUAGAUCCAAGUCUCCAUUCCGCUCUUUCCGCUGGAAGAAAACCAAGACUUCUCCAUCCGAAGCACCGGGUAGUGCAUCUGACGAUGAAUCGAACCUGGAAAGGGCAGCAGAGAGACCAAGCCCGACCGGUGACGAGGACCAGCUGGAAGGUAGUCUGGUGCGCAAACACGAGUGGGAGUCGACCACGAAGAAAGCGUCCAACAGGUCGUGGGACAAGCUGUUCCUGGUCCUGCGAGGCAACACACUCUUCUUCUACAAAGACCGCAAGAGUUACCAAGCCGCCCCAGAGGUGUACUUCAGGGCUGAGAUUCCUUGCGACCUCUCUGGGGGCCAGGCCUCCGUGGCUGACGACUAUACCAAGAAGAAGCAUGUGCUGCGCCUGAGAUUGGUUAGUGGCUCUGAGUAUUUGUUCCAAGCCAAAGAUGAAGACGAGCUGAACACGUGGGUAGCCGCCCUUCAGGUGGCCACGUCCGCCGAGGGUUCUGCCGGCCCGUCCCGCUCCCAGACACUGCCGGCCGGCUCCGAGAAGAAGGAUGAGCCCAAGCGACGUAGUUUCUUCACCCUCAAGAAGAAAUAAUGGACUGCCUUAAGUCCGUGACUGACCACUCUCCCUCCAGUUCCUUGCUUCCUUUUCUAUAUAGUCAUUAUUCUUUCUGCUGGUAAUCUCCUCCUCUUCUGUCCGGAAUCUUUUAAUGUUAAAAACUUUUAUAAAUGCCCAUUUUCAGACCCAGCAUGGAAUACAUACAUGGGGUUUGGAUUGCUGCUGCUGGUGUAGGCCUUUGUUGUUGGCAACUAUUACUGCUGUGGGAGUGGGGACAGAAUAUGCUGUGCUUGGCAUCAUCAGCUUACCCCCAUGCACUGCCUCCUAUGCUGGGUCCGAAGAGAAGCAUCACGAAAAUUGUGCUGAUUUUUCUAUAUUGACAAUUUUAUUCUCUAAAAGAUUACUUGACCUUUUAAUUGUAUUAUUGGUAUCGCGCAUGAUAUCAAAUUUGCCCCGACAUAAAAAUGUUGAUAGUUUUGUGUACUAGUUGAGGUGGAAGAAAUGUGAGUGUGUGCAGUUCCCCAUGUCUGCCUAGCACUGCCAUGGCUGAGUGUUCCUCUCUCGAGGGAUAGUGUGGAAAUAAUAUAUUUAGUGAAUUCUCAUAUGUCCUUUACUUUACAAAAAUAAUGAUUUGUUAAUUUUAUCUGUCUUUAGCUGUAGUACCACAGUUUUGACUAGAUAGCACUUAUGUAAUUGUACUGUACAGAGAAGAUUAGAACUAUACCUACUGUGCUGCUUUAAGCUUAAAUUUACAAACCAUUCAUGUACCACUUCACAGCUGUUCAAAUCAUUACGAGAGUAUGAGAGCCAGCCACCAACUUAGUCUUGUAAAUGGGCAAAUGUACUCUGCUUGGGAGAGUAGAUGUGUCAUGAAGAUAGUAAUUACUUUUUCAUUAUCAUUUUUUCCCUUCCAAGUUUUCAGCCAUAAGUUUUCAUACAAAAAAAUCAAAUUCAGCAUUUCAACAUCAGCAUUGAUCUGGAGCGCUCCGGAGUCCUUCACAGAGCGGCCGGCCUCCCCCAGCAACGGCGAGAGUCCUGUGGUCCUGAUUAGCAUGGCCUGGUGCCACAUCUUUUGUUUGGUGGGGCUUGGCUGGCUGUGGGCUGGCGGAAGAGGAUCACCGGAACACUACACAACUCCGUAACUCUUUGCUAGAAGCCGUGAUGGAAACAAUGUGGGAAGGAAUGUCAUGAAGCGAUCUGUAAUGUAAUGGUGCUGUAGAUACUUAAUUCAGAUUGUACCUCGUCUUGUACAAAAUUCAUGAUCAGAAUGUCACGAAGUUGUAUCUUUUAUUUUUCCAGACAGAGCUACAUAGUAAUUCACCAUUUGUAUUUAGGAAGUGUAGGUAUUCAUUGUUUUUUCUUAGGUUGGCGCUAAAUAAUUCACAUCAUUAUACUUUCUUGUACUUUGCAUUAUGUUUCUUGCACUGAGAUGACUAUUUUUUUUGUACUUUACUUUCUUACUUUCCAAAAAUGAUAUAUUAGGGAGAGGAAACAAACAAAAAACUGUGUGUAUUUUCUAAAAAUAAAUAUAUUUCCCCAAAAA